UCACAUCAGAAAACUGGGAUCUUUCGUAGUUGCCUCAAGCUGGUAUACUGGAGAUGGAAGCUAGCACUUGUAGUUCGAUUCGGAGAGGGAAACCUGAAGCCCGGCUCUGCGUAAAUAGCGGGAUUCAUACCUGUGAUGCUGUACUCUUUAUUGAAGCCUCAAACUAGGUAAAGCCUCCAACUUUCUUAUUUCUUCUCACUGGGCUUCGAUCAGUCGAAGUACUAAUCAAAAUUCCCAAAUUUAUUUCUUUGCUGCUGUAAACUGGGUGUGGCAAUUGGACCAAUUUCUGUUGCGGCAACUCGUCAAUCAGCUGGUGCACAAAGAGCUUAUGACCCUUUUUUUUUUGACUUAGUUGCUUUGCUACCGCCAAAUCUCACUUCACCACUGCCUCUGUAUUCAAGGGGCAGAUCGACUUAUCCAGUUGACAAACUUGCAGAGAAGAUUGGAACUGGAGAUUAAGGGUGAGGCUCUUGCUUUGCUUGAUAAGUUGGUGUUUAGCUUUGGGUUUUGUAUUUCUUGUUUUGGAAGUGGUGGUGCAAAGGUUUUGCUACGGUGGAAGAAGGAAAACGAGGCAGAGUGGGAAGCUUCUUGCGUGAUGUGUAUUGCUGAGAUUGAAGGAAGAAAAGAUGGCUUUUUGUGCAGAUUCUUUUAGCAUCGGAACUUGGUCGUUUGUGAAUGACGUUACGUUCCAUCAUUAGAAGCUGCAGCAGCCAAGCACGUUGAGACUGCGGCCGUUCAUGAACGACCAUGUACGUCUCAACGCAGGAGCAGAUCACAUGAGGGUUGGCCGUUCAUGAACGACCAUGUAUUUCUCGGAGACUCAACAAAAGAAAGAAGGUUGUUCAUGAACAGCCUAUCUUUUGUUGACAGCAAGCAUUCUGGACCAUGUAUUUCCCUAUUAAAGACGACGGGUACAGCAAGGAUGCGUUGUAUACCUGAGCUUCGCCUUUGAAUUAUUGAUGGAAGGACCUGCUUUGAUUCUGGCAGAACUUGGGCCUCUUGAUUGCUGAUGUUUUCUCCCCUUUCCCCUCUAUGUAUUUCUUUUCUUUCUGCUCCCUGUAGUGUUUUUUUUUUCCUUCUUCCUCGUGGCUUCAAUACUGUUUAAAUUAUAUAGCCACGUCCGUGGUGAUCGGAUCAGGUUUGGACUCUUAUUUGAAUUUGAACCUUAGUAAACCAAGUUGAUCCUUUU